rnacentral:rRNA from 1 species
GAAGAAAGAGGGAGGUGUGAUUAACACAUGCAAGUCGAACGGUGAAGCGCCUUCCUUUUUGGUGGGUGUGGAUGAGUGGCGAACGGGUGAGUAACACGUGAGUAACCUGCCCCCUUCUUCUGGAUAACCGCAUGAAAGUGUGGCUAAUACGGGAUAUUCUGGGUCUGUCGCAUGAUGGGUCUGGGAAAGAUAUUGUUUCGGUGGGGGAUGGGCUCGCGGCCUAUCAGCUUGUUGGUGGGGUGAUGGCCUACCAAGGCGGUGACGGGUAGCCGGCCUGAGAGGGUGGACGGUCACACUGGGACUGAGACACGGACCAGACUCCUACGGGAGGCAGCAGUGGGGAAUAUUGCACAAUGGGCGCAAGCCUGAUGCAGCGACGCCGCGUGAGGGAUGGAGGCCUUCGGGUUGUGAACCUCUUUCGCCAGUGAAGCAGGCCUGCCUCGUUUGUGGGUGGGUUGACGGUAGCUGGAGAAGAAGCGCCGGCUAACUACGUG